GUCCACGCCGUAACGAUGGGAACUAGGUGUGGAGGUGUCGACUCCUCCCGUGCCGGCGCUAACGCAUUAAGUUCCCGCCUGGGAGUACGGCCGCAAGGCUAAACUCAAAGGAAUUGACGGGCCCGCACAAGCAGCGGAGCAUGUGGUUUAAUUCGAUGCAACGCGAAGAACCUUACCUGGGCUUGACAUGUUUGUGACCGCCGUGGAAACACGGUUUCCUUCGGGACACAUUCACAGGUGGUGCAAUGGCUGUCGU
rnacentral:rRNA from 1 species